CCCUUAGAUGUUCUGGGCCGCACGCGCGCUACACUGAUGCAUUCAACGAGUCUAAAACCUGCUCUGAUAGGGGUGGGUAAUCUUUUGAAUGUGCAUCGUGAUUGGGAUAGAUGAUUGCAGUUUUUCAUCUUCAACGAGGAAUGCCUAGUAAACGCAAGUCAUCAGCUUGCAUUGAUUACGUCCCUGCCCUUUGUACACACCGCCCGUCGCUCCUACCGAUUGAAUGAUCCGAUGAAUAUCAUGGAUUGAGGAUUAUAGCAGGUUCGCCUGUCUUGAUCUUCGAGAAGUGAAGUAAAUCUUAUCAUUUAGAGGAAGGAGAAGUCGUAACA
rnacentral:rRNA from 1 species